rnacentral:rRNA from 1 species
UACGGGGGGGGCAAGCGUUGUUCGGAAUUACUGGGCGUAAAGGGCUCGUAGGCGGCCAACUAAGUCGGACGUGAAAUCCCUCGGCUUAACCGGGGAACUGCGUCCGAUACUGGAUGGCUUGAGUUUGGGAGAGGGAUGCGGAAUUCCAGGUGUAGCGGUGAAAUGCGUAGAUAUCGGGAGGAACACCAGUGGCGAAGGCGAUCACCUGGGGUUGUUCUGACGCUGAGGAGCGAAAGCUAGGGGAGCAAACGGG